rnacentral:sRNA from 1 species
AAAAGAAAGUCUUUUCAACCUAUCGAUAUCUCUAUUAUUCUCAUACCUCUGUUGCUGGUCCAAUCAAUUCCUCAAAGGGUUCUGAUUCUUCCAGCGCUUUAUGGGAGUCUAACAGCGUCUGGUAUCCCAAAGUUUCCAAAUGUAGAAAUCCAUCUUCGCCACUUUUGGUUAAAGCACUGUUAAGAUGAUCUUCUUCUGCCAGCUCUUCCUGUAACUCAUCAGCUAACUGAUCCAUUUCUUCAAUCCAAAAGAGUUGCCCUUCUAUGGUAGGCUUCUUCAUUGCGUCUUCGAUGUCAAAGGUCAUCCUAAAGUCUUUGCCAAGAUUUAGAUCAAUCUUCCCUUUCUUGACAUCAAUCAUAGCUCCUGCAGUUGCUAAGAAAGGUCUCCAUAGAAUCAAAGGGUCCUUGAGCUCUUCAUCCAUCUCCAGGACUACAAAGUCAGUUGGUAUCUCGACAGCUCUAAUCCUGAUUGGUAGGUUUUCGAGUAAACCAUGAGGGAUUCUUACAGUCCUGUCCGCAAGGAUAAGGGAUAUGUUGCAGGAUUUGUAUUGAGUGAACCCCAAUCUUUUGGCAAUAGAGAGCGGCAUGAGACUGACUGACGCUCCUAAAUCA